rnacentral:lncRNA from 1 species
AUCAAGAAUGCUGCUGUGGCUUCCUGGGGACCCACAGCGCCUGUCCACAUGGAUCAAAUAACUCAAAUGUUCUAAGUCACAGGCAGUGGACGGAGUUCCUUGGAAUACUCACAAGGCCUCAGUCGUUACAGGAGCUGGAUCCUCUCCAGGUCAGGACUCACUAACAUGUUCUUCUUUUCUUCCUAGGUACGUGGGGGAUUUACUACCCUGUCCCCUUGGUUGAGUUGGAGCCACGAGACCAUUCUGGCGAAUGGCCCAUGAGUACGAGUUAUAUAUAGUUAAAAGCUAGUGUGCGUGUUUCACGCUCUGCAGCCCUGACUCAGAAAGCAGUGUGUAAAGACAGCAGAGCUACAGGAUAGAAAAAGUAUGAAUUGCUCAGUCAUCACUUGGAGGGCAGCUGCUCACCAGAAUUCUGUGAGCAAGAAACAAACUUUGGUUUGGGUUAAGCCACUAAGAUUUCAGUAUCGAUUUGUUACUGCAGCCUGGCCUGGCCUCUCCUGACUCUUUGAAACGUCCCAGAGGACUGAGGUGCCCGUGACAUCCCCCAGCAGAGGCUGGCAGAGGGGAGAGCCUGGAUGGGAGAUCCUAUAGCUUGUCUUCAGGACUCUGUCUUUGCAAUUAAUGCUCUUGUGCACCCUCUCCCCAUCCCACCCCCCACCUCUCCUCAGUUAUCCAAAGAUCUGCCACGGCAUUUACCCAUUGCUCUGCCACUAUAAACAAGGGGACUUGCCUGAAGGCCUCACUUCAUAACUUAUUGUGAUUCAGAAAAUAUCAGGGCCCUGGAGCCUACCCAGUUCAAAAUCCUCGUCCAACGGGGAGAGAAUCUAUGGCUUAGGAGGUAAGACAACUUGCCCAAGGUCACACAACACCUCGAUGAUAAGACUGAUAGUCCAGUCUCCUGGCUCCGAGGCCCAGACUUCCUCCUCCAUCUCUUCCCAUUGACCUGGGUCCUAGUCUCACCUGAGGGUUAAAAGGCAUGUAUCCCACAACUCUUGUGUUAGGAAAAAAUUAGCAAAAUGUUGGAAAUCAAAAGAAAGUGCAGCAUGUCCUUCAAUGUUGUGCCAGGGCCUCGCUUAACAAACCCACUAAGGGGUUAUUAACUCUCUGGCAGAAUGUACUUAUGCUCCAUACGAUUGGAUCAGAGCCUAGACACUGUGGAAUUACAUGUUUAGCUGUAGAUUUCUGCCUGGCAAAGGAAGAAAAUGCCAGUGGUUAUGCUUUUACUGCCCUGUAGGACAUUAACCAAUUUUUAUCUAGGCUGAUAAUCUUUUCUUUCUCUCCUCUUUCUUUCUUUUUAAAAACACCUUUCUUGGGGGCCGGCCCCAUGGCCAACUUGUUAAGUUCGCAUGCUCCACUUCAGCAGUCCGGGGUUCACCAGUUGAGAUCCUGGACAUGGACACACGCACCACUCAUCAGGCCAUGCCGAGGCAGCGUCCCGCAUAGCACAACUAGAAGGACCUACACCUAGAUUAUACAACUAUGUGCUGGGGCUUUGGGGAGAAAAAAAAAAAGAGGAAGAUUGGCAACAGAUGUUAGCUCAGGGCCAAUCUUCCUCACAAAAAAACAAAAUCAAUCAAUAAAAAUACCUUUCUUGAUGGACUAUAUCAAUCUAAAUUCUUCCAGUGCUCUCAGAACUAGUUUUACCAUUUCACUGGUUCUCUCAUCCAUUAAUAAAUAUGUUAAAUAAAAUCUGUGACACACGUUCAUUCUGUGUUUGUAAUGAAAAGCAUGUUUUCAACUUUUUCCAAAUUACAUUUUGACACUUGAGAGAAGCGUCCACUGGUUUUCAGUUUUGUAGCCCCAGGGCCUCGCAUAGGUGUCUGACCGAGAACUGGAAGUCAUAGUUGUCCACCGAAGGAGUGACUGAAUUCUGGCCUAUCCAUCAAGAUCAUAGAUCAGAGAUUUGCAUUUUAUCAGCAUCUUUAAAGUCUUGACUCAGAGGAGAAGUUCUGAUGUAGGAAGCUCAGGGACCAGGAGACCGGUAGGGGAAACGUUUGGGCUUUGGGGGGAAAGCCUGAUGCUCCUCAUAGGGGCUAACUCCAUCUUCACACACAAACAUGGUACUUGCGUCCUGAUGCCCGUGGGGACACACCUUCUAGCUCAGUGGGCGAAGUGAGGAUAGGCAUAUUCCUCUGAGGCCCCCUCCGACAGACCCACCUGUGUGACCCGUGCAUUCUUCCAGAAGUUAAGAGGGAGAGUCAGUCUGCUGUUCCACUUCCUCAUCCUGUCCCCAUUAUAUGCCAUCAGCUUAGCUGGUCAUCUCUGAUAGUCAGUAAAAUCCCACCAGGCAGCCAGAAGCAGAAUAACUUACCCGGUGCCUCUCCUACCUGCUCUAAUCAUGGCCCUUGUACCAAGAACCCCAUCCUUCAGAAGGAUGUGGCUCACAAUGGUGUCAUUCCCCAAAAGCUUCCAUAGGGGCUUCUUCGUUAGUUUUCCCUUCCACCCACAGGCACUGCUGGGUCCUCAAAAAUUUAAGACAAGUCAGCUUUCCGCCUUCCAGUGAGCAGACCCAGACAAAAGUCUUCUGAACGCGGCCAAGCAGAGUUUCUUCAAAAAGAGCAGUGUCCUUGCCUUGUCCAGGAACUUCACCGGAGCUGAAGGAAACAGCGGGCUGGGCUUGUCAUGAUUUAUCCUCGCCAGCAGCAGCCCGGUGUUUAUCAUUCCGCACGAGGCUUGGAUGGGCCUGAGUGGAUCAGGACUAAAGCAGCUGAUUUAUAUUCAGAGCGGAGUUUAAAUUAACUGCGCAGAAGUCAAAUCUCGCUUUGCUCGUGUUUGCUUUUUCUGAGCAGCGCCCAGGACUUCUGCUUUGAAACUUCCCAUUUCGCACAACCCCUCGACCUGGAAUGGAACGCCCUUCAGUUGUUAGACCGGAUGCUGCCCCCAUUCGUGAAUCACCUAAUAAAGCCGAUUAGAUCUUCAAAUUUACUCUCGUGGAAGAGACAUUUUUUGUGGACCAGAGACCUGAGAGAGAAGCAGAAAGAAGUGUUCAGCAACGUGCUGGGGGCCCGCAUCCUAGGGAUGAAUCAUGCCAGUGAUUGGUUUGGGGUGGCCAUGUGACCCAGGUCUGGCCAGUGAAAUGGAAGGGAAAGUCUUUGGGGUAGAGCUGGACCACUGGGAAACAUUUUCCUCUCUGACAAACUAAAGAGUGACGUUAGGAGAAGACUUUCUUUGCUUCAUGUUUUGCAUGCUGUCGUGUGUUUUCAAGCACCCAUGGCCUCUUUUUUCUCUCUAAUCUUACCUUCUAUGACAUUCCUCCUCCAUCACACCAAUCCAGCUACUGGUCUCCUUGCUUCCCUAGAACAUACUAAGAACACACCUGCCUCAGGGCCUUUGCACUUGCUAUUCCCCCCCACCUAGAACACCCUUCCUCCAGAUCUUCACUGGAUUUUUCUUUCACAUCUUCAGGUCUUUGUUCAAAUAUCAGCUUCUCAGUGAGGAUAUUUUAAAAAUAUCCUUAUCCUUCUCAUUACCUUUAUUCUUUUUAUUGUUUUCUAUAACAUGUCACUAAUAUACUACGUAGUUUUAAAAUUUAUUUUGUUCAUUAUCUCCCCUUUACCCACUACAAUGGAAGUUCCUUGUGGGCAAGGAUUUCCAUAAGUUUUAUUCACUGUUGUGUUUCCAAUGCUGAGAAAUGUGCCCAACACAUAGUAGCACUUAUUAAAUAUUUGUUGAAUGAAUGAAUGAAUGGAUGCUGCACUUCAGGCUCCAGCAGCCAUCUUGUGACCAUGAGGACAAGUGAAGGAAAUCAAAGGGAAACAGCCCCACAGCCCCAUCAGCUGCUGACUUAGCAGCUCUACCUGAUGAAUUAUUGUUACUGAAAGAAGGUCUUAAGAGUUUCAGCCAACGUUAGUUGGGGAACUUUCUCUUGUGACUGAAAUCAUCCUAAAUGAUACACUCUUCAAAGCUACUGGGGUGAGAGUCAAAGGAGGCUUUAUCAUCCCACCCCAGGGGGAUUUAGGCACAGGCUCUCCAAGAGAGGGAUGGGGAAUCUGGGCCCGGUGGCAUCUGGAAUGUCAUCAGUUGAGGAGGUGGCAGUCUGAUCUCCAGCUGCUCCCUGGUGCACUCAGGGUCUCAGUGUUUCCAUCAACACAAUGGACAUCAUAGCACCUACUUUCAUUAUAGAUCCAGGAUCCAGAAACUUCGAAGGAGUUGCAGGCCUUGGUGUUCAAGAAGUAGCCCGUCAGCGUGCCCAUUUUGUAAAUGAAGUAACGGAGGUUGAGUGGCAUUGGGGCGGGCCUCCACCAGACCCACGGCUCUCACCGCAGGGCUCUGUGGGUCUUUCUUCCUGUGCACAGUAGUUCCAGAGCGCAGUAUCAUUCCUGGGAGGACUGAGAAUUCUCAUACUACUUCCUUCUCGGAACAGAAGUACAAUAAGGGGAAGUGGGAUGUUGACAAUUAGCUGGUCACGUGAACUUGCCAAGACAGAUACAACAAGGCACUGGCUGGGGCUCUGGGACAACCACAGAAGAGGCUGAGAAGAUAGGGCCCCAUUUGGUCUCCACGAAAUAUCCAGAGGGCUCUUUUACAAUGUAAAUCUCAUCAUGUCACUCUCCUGCUCAAGAACCUUCCAUGGACUUCCAUUGCUCUGAAAUUAAAAUCCAAACUCCUUAGCAGGACCUACAAACCCUCACUGGAUCUGGGCCCCAUUUCCCCUCAGACUCGAUUCACAACAACCCCCACCCCCAUCCCACCAGGCUCCAGGCACAGGCCCCUGUUCCUGCCCCUAGUCCUUGGCAACCACGCUCUCUCUCUCUGGAAUGCUCUCCCAGCUCUUUGCAUAACUGACUUAUUCUCAACCUUGAGGUCUCCACUCCUGUAUUUUCCUCUUUAGAAAAACAUUCUCUGGCCUCCCUCCCUCCCUGAGGUGUCAGCAGCCCAGUUCCUCCCACCAUCACCCAGUCUGUUUCACCCGGAGCACUUAUCACAGUCUGUAAUUGUCUUGGUUGCUUUUUUACUUAUUUAUUGACUAUCUCCCGAACUAGACUGUCCCAGAGGGCAAGGACCGUCCUCUCUUCUUAGCUGCAUCUACAGGGCCUCACUCAAUGCCUGGAACAUGAUAAUGCUCAAUAAUUGUGUCGAGUGAAUAAAUGAAAGAAUGCAUGAAUGCUUCUGUUCACAUCAACCACAGUGCUACAUGGCCAGGAUCCUGCAGGACACUGGCCUGAAAGCCCUGGGAUGGCCCUGGACAAACCAGAAGUGUCACAGCCAUCACAAGAUAGUGAUGCUCCAAGUCCAUCCAAAGAGGACUGCACAAGCCCACCAGCCCUGCAGGGCAUGGACCUGCCUCCAGCCCUCACCCCAGGUCCCGGGCUGAGCAACCCUCAAACUUCUGACCACAGACAAGCUCUGUCUCCCCAGGGUUCCCCCAUUGCUGUUUGGAGGGAGUAAGGCCUGGCCUCCCUGCAGCCAACUGGGCAGUCCAGUGAUAACGGAGGGGUACCUGGUGGGAUGUCGGGCAGCAGGGAACAGCAGGCCUCAUGGGAGCCUGCUCGGGACUGUGAAAGAUGACGUGAGUGGAGCCAGAUUAACGCAGAGCCAGGGCAGCCAUUUCAGAGGCAUUGGUUUGCACGUCUUGUUUUCUUUAUCUUUCAAACUGGACCAAACCGCUGACAUUCCAAGAAGUCAGUAAGGACAAGAAUAUCCUGUCUGUAAGGACUGAUGAUGACCGAAUCAUGACCUGGACUUGGUGAUGACCGAAUCGCUCACCAACAAAGUACAAGUCUAGGCUCUUGCCUGAUGACGGAAUCUCAGGUCAAUCAGUGAAGUACAAACCUAGCCUGACCUCAUCUAGCACCAAUGAACUCCUCUGUAAUACAGCUCACCCCAUCCUCCCUUUUUCCCGUAAAAACCCGGAGCCCCUCUCCCAUAAUCAGAACACGUUUUGAGUUUCUACCUGAGUCUAUGUCCCCUGAAUUGAAAUUCUAACUGCCCAAAUAAAUAUCUACUGCUUAAAUUGUAG